AGACGUCUACAUUAGAUACCCGCGUAGUCCCAGCCGUAAACUAUGCGCGUUAGGUGUAUCGGUGACCACGAGUUACCGAGGUGCCGAAGGGAAACCGUGAAACGUGCCGCCUGGGAAGUACGGUCGCAAGGCUGAAACUUAAAGGAAAUUGGCGGGGGAGCACCACAACGGGUGGAGCCUGCGGUUUAAUUUGGACUCAACGCCGGGAAGCUCACCGGAUAAGACAGCGGAAUGAUUGCCGGGCUGAAGACUCUGCAUGACUAGCUG
rnacentral:rRNA from 1 species